rnacentral:rRNA from 1 species
AAACUGGGAUUAGAUACCCCACUAUGCCUAGCCUUAAACACAAAUAGUCAUGCAAACAAAACUAUUCGCCAGAGUACUACCGGCAAUAGCUUAAAACUCAAAGGACUUGGCGGUGCUUUAUACCCUUCUAGAGGAGCCUGUUCUAUAAUCGAUAAACCCCGAUAAACCUCACCAUUCCUUGCUAAUACAGUCUAUAUACCGCCAUCUUCAGCGAACCCUAAAAAGGUACAAAAGUAAGCACAAUCAUAAUACAUAAAAACGUUAGGUCAAGGUGUAACCUAUGGAACGGAAAGAAAUGGGCUACAUUUUCUAAUCUAAGAAAAUCCAGCACGAAAGUUAUUAUGAAAUUAAUAACCAAAGGAGGAUUUAGCAGUAAACUAAGAAUAGAGUGCUUAGUUGAAUUAGGCCAUGAAGCACGCACACACCGCCCGUCACCCUC